CAUUGUUUACAAACUGAUAAGCGGUCCAAAUCGCCAACACACUGAAAUCAAACAGUGUCCUCUUUCUUCUCCUUGUUUUCUAUUAGACCUAAAACAAUGCCCAAACUCUCCAUCUUCAUUUACCUUACUCUAGCUUUUCUCUUUGUCUUACUCAUCUCUCACAACCCUUCCAAACCCUCUAACCACCGUCACCGCCGUCUCAAGCUCCGUUCCACUUUCAACUUCUCCGACCACCACCACCACAACCCUGUCCCUUUCGACCCUCUCGUCGCCGACAUCGAACGUCGCCGCGAGGACAAGCAAUGGGAGAAGCACUACUUUGACCAAGCCCAUCCCGAAAUUGUUUCCCAUUCUGACCACCAUGACUCCGCUCCUGCCCACGAGGCUCAGCCCGAGUGGGAUGAUUUCGUGGAUGCCGAGGAUUAUUUGAACGACGAAGAGAAAUUCAAUGUCACCAGCAGGUUGUUGUUGCUUUUUCCGAAGAUCGAUAUGGACCCAGUUGAUGGUUACGUGAGCGAGCAUGAAUUGAUUGAGUGGAACUUGAAUCAGGCUGAGAGGGAAGUCAUGCACAGGACCCAAAGAGAGAUGGAUAUCCACGAUAAAAAUCAUGAUGGAUUCAUUUCUUUUGCUGAGUAUGAGCCUCCUAGUUGGGUUCAGAAUUCAGAUAAAAAUUCUUUUGGCUAUGAUAUGGGCUGGUGGAGAGAAGAACAUUUCAAUGCAUCAGAUUCGGAUGGAGAUGGUCUAUUGAAUACCACAGAGUUUAAUGACUUUCUGCAUCCUGCUGACAGCAAAAACCCAAAGCUGCUUCAAUGGUUGUGCAAGGAGGAAGUAAGGGAAAGAGACUCAGACGAAGACGGGAAGGUUAAUUUUAAAGAAUUCUUCCAUGGGCUAUUUGACCUGGUGAGAAAUUAUGACGAGGAAAGUCAAAAUUCUUCACAUAUCUCUGAUGAUUCAAUGGAGGCCCCAGCUAAGAUUUUGUUUGCUCAGCUAGACAAAGAUGGUGACAGAUAUUUGUCUGACACCGAGUUACUACCUAUAAUUGGGAAGCUCCAUCCCUCAGAGCGUUAUUAUGCAAAACAACAAGCAGAUUAUAUCAUAUCACAGGCUGAUUCAGAUAAAGAUGGGCGCCUAUCAUUGACGGAGAUGAUUGAGAACCCAUAUGUAUUUUACAGUGCUGUUUUCAAUGAUGAUGAAGAUGAGGACUAUGAUUUCCAUGAUGAAUUCCGUUAAUUUUGAACAAAGGCUACCAAGGAAAGAAAAACAGGAGUAGAUUUCCAAAUCUUUUUAGCACGAAUUUUGUGCAUUAUAGAGUUAGUAAUUAUAAAAAGUUACAAACUUGAAGAGGAUCAAGCUUCAAAGAAAUCAGUAAAUCUGGGUUCAGAAAUGCUCAAGUUGAGAGGUGACAGUGACUCAGUAAGAGUAAGGUGCUUCUGUUCCUUGUGUAGCUGCUGAGUCCUGAAGCAAGCGAUAUGUAUUCGACUUCUGGUUACAGUUCCGCGGAGCAGCAGCAACCGGAGAGUGAGCAAAAUGUCACUCCUUGCACGGAUUUCGACAUGGCAUACUUUCAUUCCUAUGCUCACGUUGGUAUACACGAAGAGAUGAUCAAGGAUUGUGUACGAACAGAUACUUAUGGGGCUGCAAUCAUGCAACUAAAAAGUUACAUUGAAGGCAAAGUAAUAUCAUGGUUGUUGAAAUUCAGUCAGGAAAUGCUCUAUGAUCUUUUUUCUGAUAAAUUAUUGUUGAGGGACUUUUGAAUCCACAUAAACACUAUGCUAUGGCACUAGCCUUUGUUGAGUGUAAAUAGAACUGCUUCUAUUUUUAAUCCUGAAAUGACAGAAGUCUGAAUGUUUGAUAAGUUUUAUGAUGUCACAUAUUAUUUCAUCACUGGACGAAAUGUAAAUGUCGUAUUGUGAUGUGAAAACACAACCAUGGAACUUCAAUUUUUUUUAUUUUUUUUCUUUUGAACAUCAAUGAUCUGCUGAAUUCUAAGAAUGGUUUAGGCAAAAAAUUUCUUAUCUAAAUUUAAUCCUAAUGCUCACAUAUGAAUAUAUGUUCAGGUUGUUGUGUAUGUUGGCUGUGGCACAGGAAUUCUUUCUAGCUCAUAUUUUUAGAAGGUUCUAUAUUAUAUUUGACAAACUUUGUUAUGGGGUUCAUGGGCCAAAUAUAUUGUUCCUGGAGUAUUACAUGCCAUGUCACUGCUGUUUCUUGCAAUUUUGGUACAAUUAUUUCUUUGAAGUGCAAUAGCCUGUUCUAAAAAUGAAUCCAUGAGGUUUUGAAUUUCCAUGCUGUGAAGCCUUGGAAUCAAUUCAAUUGUUUCCAACAUUUUUUUCCUCUGAAAAUUGUCCUAUGUUGGGAGUGGACUAUCUAUCUUGUGCUGCCCAAGGCCCAAAUAAUAAGCCUUCCUAAGUCCGAAUGGUCCUUUGAUUCUUUCAUCACAUGCCAAAGUAAGAAAAGAAAAAAGGAAAAAGAAAAAUAAAGGGAAGAAGAAUGAACCUUUGAUUCUUUCCUUACAUGUGAAAGUUUGACACUUGCCUUUUUUUUCCUUAGUUCUUUUUUGAAGGAGAUAUUUUCAUAGAUGUCUAUGCAUAUUUCUGUUUAUACGCUUGCAUUAUUUUGACUGUAAUUGUGGAUCAUGCUUGAAAUGAUAUUGUUUGGCCAGGUAUAUGCAGUGGAUGCAAGUGAUGCAAGUGAUACAAGCAAAUGAAGUUGUGAAGGCAAGCAACUUAUCUGAGAAGAUCAUUGUAUUACGUGGACGAGUUGAGGUCUGAUACAAUCUCUGGAAGAGAGAUUGGAACUCAUAACAGAGAAGAAAGAUGAGAUGAGAAGAGAAAAGAAUGAGAUGAGAAGAGAAUAGAGAUUCAAACUCCAUUGCAUGGGUUUGUAUUUUGGUUUGAUGUUGAAUUCAGCUGUCCUGCAACAUCUCCUAUAAAUGCUCUUGCAAACAAUCCUCCACUAGACGGAGGUCAGAACAAAAAAAGAACAAAUCCAAAUGAUGCACUUGUGCUGUCCACUGCACCUGAGGACACACCAAAACACUGGCAGCAGACAGUGAUAUACUUCCAUGAUCCAGUAGAGAUGGAGCAAGAUCAACUCAUUGAAGGUUCAUUGACAUUAUCACAGUGUAAAGAAAACCGUAGCUUCAUGAAUAUUAUCCUAGAAUUCAAAAGUGAAAUAUCGCCUGCUCAAAGUGAAGAUGUUUCUAGUGAUGCGGUUGUGAUGUGCGGACAUUGAUUGAGAGCUUCAAUCUAUACAUCAUGGACAUUGGGUAAUCCAAGGAGAAGAUUUUUCAGAUGUGGAUAUUGGGAGGGGAAUGAUUGCAACUUCUUCCAAUGGUAUGAUCCUCUGUCUCAUGGCCGUGAGAAGGAAAUCCUUACUUAUUUGUUGAGACAGAGAAAUACAUUCAAGGAGAAAGUUAAAGGCCUGGAGGAGCUAAAUAACUCUAUGACUGAACGAUUGGCACUGAUGAAGGAGAAGUGUGAACACUUGGAAUCACUUAGUACUGAAUUGAAAAAUAAAGUUGAAGUGUUAUCAAAGUUAGAAAAAAUGUAUGAAAGUGAGCUGCUUGAAGUGAAGAAAAUGCUGACCUAGCAGAAAAUGAUCUUGUUCUGUGCAUUUGUAAUAGUUAUUAUGUUAGUCAUGUUUGUAGGCUAAUUAAAAAUUAAUGUCAAGAAUGAUAGUGGUAUUGGGUUGUUUAUGUUGGCAUGAAUAGUAUGCCAAAAUAUUGUAAAUUUUGUCUUUUCUGUUGCAUCAAUGAAAAUGUAAAUGUUUGUCUUA